GAUCCUGGCUCAGGAUGAACGCUGGCGGCGUGCUUAACACAUGCAAGUCGAACGGAGCACCCCCUGACGGAGUUUUCGGGACAACGAAAGGGAAUGCUUAGUGGCGGACGGGUGAGUAACGCGUGAGUAACCUGCCUUGGAGUGGGGAAUAACAGCCGGAAACGGCUGCUAAUACCGCAUGAUGUAUCUGGAUCGCAUGGUUCUGGAUACCAAAGAUUUAUCGCUCUGAGAUGGACUCGCG
rnacentral:rRNA from 1 species